rnacentral:rRNA from 1 species
AACGAACGCUGGCGGCGUGCUUAACACAUGCAAGUCGAACGCGAAAGGGGCUUCGGUCCUGAGUAGAGUGGCGCACGGGUGAGUAACGCGUAGAUAACCUGUCCUGGUGUCUGGAAUAACGUCUCGAAAGGGGCACUAAUACCGGAUAUUCUUGCUUUCUUCAAGGUAUGCAAGGAAAGGUGGCCUCUGGAACAAGCUACUGCACGAGGAGGGGUCUGCGUACCAUUAGCUAGUAGGUGGGGUAAUGGCCUACCUAGGCGACGAUGGUUAGCGGGUCUGAGAGGAUGAUCCGCCACACUGGCACUGGCAUACGGGCCAGACUCCUACGGGAGGCAGCAGUGAGGAAUAUUGCGCAAUGGGGGCAACCCUGACGCAGCGACGCCGCGUGAGUGAGGAAGGCCUUCGGGUCGUAAAGCUCUGUCAAGAGGGAAGAAGUGCAUGGUGGUUAAUAUCUGUCAUGUUUGACGGUACCUCUAAAGGAAGCACCGGCUAACUCCGUGCCAGCAGCCGCAGUAA